CGUUCUUUAACCCCCGCGCUCUCGACACGAAGAUGAACGCAUAGUAUCACUUUGAUACUACUACCAUGUCGGCGACCAUAAAAGCGACGGCAAUAUCCUUUAAUCGUCGCGUUCUUCCCCCUAUAUUUCCACCGCCGUCUCGUCUCGUCUCUUUUAGAGGCAUAGCUUCGAAGCUUGUUGUUGGUGUACUCUCAUUCUACACCAUGGGCAAAGGACUAUCGGAUGCCUUUUCUCGAUAUGGUUAGGUUGUGGAAGAUGGCUUCCAUUCAGAUACUUUAGCUUUCAUGUCUUACAAUGGCAAUUUAGUUUCAAAAAACAAUUCUCUCUACUCCAGCCAAAGUUUUGAUGGACAGAGCCUCUGUUAAGUCAAAGGGAUUUGGAGUUGUCACCUUUGCAUCUGAAGACGAAGCGCAUAUUGUACUGACAAAGAUGAACGGAAGCCUUUGAACGGAAGGCUUAUUUUUGCGGACUAUGUGAAACUGCCUUCCAAUUGGCAGAAAUCUUAUAGCGAGAGGACCUCCUAAAGGAGAAAACUGAUAAGUGAUUGUUCCGUCAUUUAUCAGAAAGGAAUUAGCUGAACAGGGAGGGAACCCACGUAGUAGCUGUGCAUGGAAAGUGUGAUUCAGACAUGUUCUAUCAGCAAUUUGCUUCAUGCUAGAGAUGUGCUAAAAAGCUUCAGGAAAAAGAGGGAAAAGAGAGUCAUUAGGAAAGCGAGCUAAUGGCAUCACGAGAGAGAGCCUUGGGUGUUAGGGAGAAAAUUUUAAUUACUAUCAAGAAUAUGAAUGAUCUUUUUAUUUAUUAUCUAUCAAGUCAGCAUUUUUUG